rnacentral:rRNA from 1 species
AGUGAACGCUGGCGGUAGGCCUAACACAUGCAAGUCGAACGGCAGCACAGUAAGAGCUUGCUCUUACGGGUGGCGAGUGGCGGACGGGUGAGGAAUACAUCGGAAUCUACUUUUUCGUGGGGGAUAACGUAGGGAAACUUACGCUAAUACCGCAUACGACCUACGGGUGAAAGCAGGGGAUCUUCGGACCUUGCGCGAUCGAAUGAGCCGAUGUCGGAUUAGCUAGUUGGCGGGGUAAAGGCCCACCAAGGCGACGAUCCGUAGAUGGUCUGAGAGGAUGAUCAGCCACACUGGAACUGAGACACGGUCCAGACUCCUACGGGAGGCAGCAGUGGGGAAUAUUGGACAAUGGGCGCAAGCCUGAUCCAGCCAUACCGCGUGGGUGAAGAAGGCCUUCGGGUUGUAAAGCCCUUUUGUUGGGAAAGAAGAGCAGCAAGUUAAUACCCCGCUGUUCUGACGGUACCCAAAGAAUAAGCACCGGCUAACUUCGUG